GAUCAUUACCAAAACGAUAGAAGGAUGGUCGCUCAAGCACUGUCGUUGCCCACGACGCCGCGGGGCCCAUCCAACUAUUGCACCCUUUGUCUUUGCGUACUGUAUGUUUCCUCGGUGGGCUCGCCCGCCGAUAGGACAUUUAUAAACUCUUUGUAAUUGCAAUCAGCGUCAGAAACAACUAUAAUAGUUACAACUUUCAACAACGGAUCUCUUGGUUCUGGCAUCGAUGAAGAACGCAGCGAAAUGCGAAAAGUAGUGUGAAUUGCAGAAUUCAGUGAAUCAUCGAAUCUUUGAACGCACAUUGCGCCCCUUGGUAUUCCAUGGGGCAUGCCUGUUCGAGCGUCAUUUGUACCCUCAAGCUCUGCUUGGUGUUGGGUGUUUGUCUCGCCAUUGCGCGUGGACUCGCCUUAAAGCAAUUGGCAGCCGGCAAAAGCCUGGGAGCGCAGCACAUGCGUUGCUUUCAGACUGCUUGUCGAGCGUCCAGCAAGCCUAUUUUCUUGCGUUUGACCUCGGAUCAGGUAGGGAUACCCGCUGAACUUAAGCAUAUCAAUAAGCGGAGGAAAAGAAACCAACAGGGAUUGCCCUAGUAACGGCGAGUGAAGCGGCAUCAGCUCAAAUUUGAAAUCUGGCUCUUUCAGGGUCCGAGUUGUAAUUUGCAGAGGGCGCUUUGGCGUUGGCAGCGGUCCAAGUUCCUUGGAACAGGACGUCACAGAGGGUGAGAAUCCCGUACGUGGUCGCUGGCCUUCACCGUGUAAAGCCCCUUCGACGAGUCGAGUUGUUUGGGAAUGCAGCUCUAAAUGGGAGGUAAAUUUCUUCUAAAGCUAAAUACUGGCCAGAGACCGAUAGCGCACAAGUAGAGUGAUCGAAAGAUGAAAAGCACUUUGGAAAGAGAGUCAAAUAGCACGUGAAAUUGUUGAAAGGGAAGCGCUUGCAGCCAGACUUGCCUGUAGUUGCUCAUCCGGGCUUUUGCCCGGUGCACUCUUCUAUAGGCAGGCCAGCAUCAGUUUGGACGGUUGGAUAAAGGUCUCUGUCACGUACCUUCUCUCGGGAAGGCCUUAUAGGGGAGACGACAUGCAACCAGUCUGGACUGA
rnacentral:misc_RNA from 1 species